rnacentral:rRNA from 1 species
AGAGUUUGAUCCUGGCUCAGAUUGAACGCUGGCGGCAUGCCUUACACAUGCAAGUCGAACGGCAGCGGGGGAAAGCUUGCUUUCCUGCCGGCGAGUGGCGAACGGGUGAGUAAUACAUCGGAACGUGCCCUGUAGUGGGGGAUAACUAGUCGAAAGAUUAGCUAAUACCGCAUACGACCUGAGGGUGAAAGUGGGGGACCGCAAGGCCUCAUGCUAUAGGAGCGGCCGAUGUCUGAUUAGCUAGUUGGUGGGGUAAAGGCCUACCAAGGCGACGAUCAGUAGCUGGUCUGAGAGGACGAUCAGCCACACUGGGACUGAGACACGGCCCAGACUCCUACGGGAGGCAGCAGUGGGGAAUUUUGGACAAUGGGCGAAAGCCUGAUCCAGCAAUGCCGCGUGUGUGAAGAAGGCCUUCGGGUUGUAAAGCACUUUUGUCCGGAAAGAAAUGGCUCUGGUUAAUACCCGGAGUUGAUGACGGUACCGGAAGAAUAAGGACCGGCUAACUACGUGCCAGCAGCCGCGGUAAUACGUAGGGUCCAAGCGUUAAUCGGAAUUACUGGGCGUAAAGCGUGCGCAGGCGGUUGUGCAAGACCGAUGUGAAAUCCCCGGGCUUAACCUGGGAAUUGCAUUGGUGACUGCACGGCUAGAGUGUGUCAGAGGGAGGUAGAAUUCCACGUGUAGCAGUGAAAUGCGUAGAGAUGUGGAGGAAUACCGAUGGCGAAGGCAGCCUCCUGGGAUAACACUGACGCUCAUGCACGAAAGCGUGGGGAGCAAACAGGAUUAGAUACCCUGGUAGUCCACGCCCUAAACGAUGUCAACUAGUUGUUGGGGAUUCAUUUCCUUAGUAACGUAGCUAACGCGUGAAGUUGACCGCCUGGGGAGUACGGUCGCAAGAUUAAAACUCAAAGGAAUUGACGGGGACCCGCACAAGCGGUGGAUGAUGUGGAUUAAUUCGAUGCAACGCGAAAAACCUUACCU